UACGAAGGGGGCUAGCGUUGCUCGGAAUCACUGGGCGUAAAGCGCACGUAGGCGGAUUGCUAAGUCAGGGGUGAAAUCCUGGAGCUCAACUCCAGAACUGCCUUCGAUACUGGCGAUCUUGAGUCCGGGAGAGGUGAGUGGAACUGCGAGUGUAGAGGUGAAAUUCGUAGAUAUUCGCAAGGACACCAGUGGCGAAGGCGGCUCACUGGCCCGGUACUGACGCUGAGGUGCGAAAGCGUGGGGAGCAAACAGG
rnacentral:rRNA from 1 species